rnacentral:rRNA from 1 species
UACGGAGGGUGCAAGCGUUAUCCGGAUUCACUGGGGUUAAAGGGUGCGUAGGUGGGUUGGUAAGUCAGUGGUGAAAUCCCCGAGCUUAACUUGGGAACUGCCAUUGAUACUAUCAGUCUUGAAUACCGUGGAGGUUAGCGGAAUAUGUCAUGUAGCGGUGAAAUGCUUAGAUAUGACAUAGAACACCAAUUGCGAAGGCAGCUGGCUACACGAAUAUUGACACUGAGGCACGAAAGCGUGGGGAUCAAACAGG